UGACUUGGGAACAUGGGAAGAGGCAAAAGGCAAGGGAAAGUUUGCUUCUCCUUCUCCAGUAGUUCCUGAGUGCU
ensembl:miRNA gga-mir-7439 gga-mir-7439